rnacentral:rRNA from 1 species
CCACGCCGUAAACGAUGGAUGCUAGAUGUCGGGACGUAUGUCUCGGUGUCGUAGUUAACGCGUUAAGCAUCCCGCCUGGGGAGUACGGUCGCAAGGCUGAAACUCAAAGAAAUUGACGGGGGCCCGCACAAGCGGUGGAGUAUGUGGUUUAAUUCGAUGCAACGCGAAGAACCUUACCCAGGCUUGACAUCUAGGGAACCCUUCGGAAAUGAAGGGGUGCCCUUCGGGGAGCCCUAAGACAGGUGCUGCAUGGCUGUCGUCAGCUCGUGCCGUGAGGUGUCGGCUUAAGUGCCACAUCGUGCGCAACCCCUAUGCAUAGUUGCCAGCAAGUGAUGUUGGGCACUCUAUGCAGACUGCCCGGGUUAACCGGGAGGAAGGUGGGGACGACGUCAAGUCAUCAUGGCCCUUACACCUAGGGCUACACACGUACUACAAUGGCACGCACAAAGGGCAGCGAUACCGUGAGGUGGAGCCAAUCCCAAAAAACGUGUCCCAGUCCGGAUUGCAGUCUGCAACUCGACUGCAUGAAGUCGGAAUCGCUAGUAAUUCGAGGUCAGCAUACUCGGGUGAAUGCGUUCCCGGGCCUUGUACACACCGCCCGUCACACCACGAAAGUCGGUUUUACCCGAAGCCGGUGAGCCAACUAGCAAUAGAGGCAGCCGUCUACGGUAGGGCCGAUGAUUGGGGUGAAGUCGUAACAAGGUAGCCGUAGGGGAACCUGCGGCUG